rnacentral:tRNA from 2 species
GGGCCCGUAGUCUAGCCUGGUUAGGAUGUCCGCCUUACGAGCGGGAGGUCCCGGGUUCAAGUCCCGGCGGGCCCACCA